AUUUUAUUAAUAUAACUAAAAAGUAUAUUUGAUUUCCAAUCAAAAAGUUUAAUUUUUAAAUAAAAUA
rnacentral:tRNA from 1 species